rnacentral:tRNA from 1 species
UAUAUAAUAUCUUAAAAUAAAAGUAUUGAUUUUUUAAAUCAAUUAUAGUAUAUUUAUUAAAUACUUUAUAUAA